GGAAUUUUGGGCAAUGGGCGAAAGCCUGACCCAGCAACGCCGCGUGAAGGAUGAAAUCCCUCGGGAUGUAAACUUCGCAAGAACAGGAAGAAUAAGUAAGAGUUAACAUCUCUUAUGAUGACGGUACUGUUUGUAAGCUCCGGCUAACUCCGUGCCAGCAGCCGCGGUAAUACGGGGGGGGCAAGCGUUGUUCGGAAUUACUGGGCGUAAAGGGCUCGUAGGCGGCCAACUAAGUCGGACGUGAAAUCCCUCGGCUUAACCGGGGAACUGCGUCUGAUACUGGAUGGCUCGAGUUCGGGAGAGGGAUGCGGAAUUCCAGGUGUAGCGGUGAAAUGCGUAGAUAUCUGGAGGAACACCGGUGGCGAAGGCGGCAUCCUGGACCGGCAUUGACGCUGAGGCGCGAAAGCCAGGGGAGCAA
rnacentral:rRNA from 1 species